GCCUCCCCUGCAGGCUUUGGAGAGUUCUCGCUGAGGAGGUGCGUCUGGAGUAUUAUAACUGCAGUGCAAACAACAACACUGGCUACUACAUCAACUCUGUCAAUCAGUUAGUGCAGCAGUGGAG
rnacentral:lncRNA from 7 species